AUUUCCUUCUCCAAUGCAGGAAAGUGAAAAGUGAAAGUGAAGUUGCUCAGUCGUGUCCGACUCUAGCGACCCCAUGGACUGCAGCCUACCAGGCUCCUCUGUCCAUGGGAUUUUCUAGGCAAAAGUACUGGAGUGGGGUGCCAUUGAGUUUGAUAGGUUCAUCCAUAUCAUUGCAAAUGGCAAAAUUUAAUUCUUUUUUAUGGCUGAGUAGGUGAAGUAUUUCUUCAACAUAGAAUUCAACAGCUUUUAGUUAUUUUUUAAAAGCCCUUCAGUCUCUUUAUAGCAGUGGUUCUUACCUGUGUUGAUUUUGACUCCUCUUUCCAGGGGACACUUGGGCAUACCUGGAGACACUUUUGAUUGUCACAAAUGGGGGUGGUGUUAUUGGAACCUAGGUCAGGGACACAGCUAAACAUCCUAUAACACACAGAGUGGUUCCCCUACAAUGAAGGAUCAUGUGGCCCAAAACGUUAACAGUAUUGAGUUUGAGAAAUCCCAUUCUUCAGGAUAAGAAAGGUCAUUUUUUCAAAAUUAGAUUUUAUCACUCUUCUUUCUAAUUAAAAGGAAAUGGAACUCCAUUUUGAAAAUGAUGAGAACCAGAAAUGUGAUCACAUGGUGAUGUCAUUCACAAUACUUCUGACAUCUCUAUUUUCAGAAGGGUGCCCCUUUCAUGAGACCCACACCCCCAUCCUCACUAAGCUGUGGCCACUACUGACGCAUCCUGUCCCUCAACAGACAGCGUGUUCUGACAGCCCACUGUACUACGAAAGACCUCACGGUCACUGCAGUGACUGGAGGCAGCAGCCUGGAUCCUGCAGGUGAACUGAUGAGAAACCAGUGUCCCUAGGCCACACUAAGAUGUGCCUUCACUGGGUUAGUAUUUACCAUUAAGGCCUCUCUGUGUAUUUUUCAUUUUCUUUAAAUUACAAGGAAAUGUCAUUCACUAUUAAGACCCUCCUUUCUUUAGUUUAAGAGAAAACUAGCCUCUUGCAGGUAAGUUUGAAUUUUCUACUAUGAAAAACAAAAACUGCUUUAGAAGCAGGAAAAUUUAGAAACAAUUUUUUUGUCCAAGCUUUACUUUCUUAGUGGUCUGAAACCAUGUACUUCUGUGCUGUUUUAAUGUUAAAUGUCUUCCUUGACAGCUUUGUAUUUUGUAGGCCCCUUCAUGCCCUUUUAAGAGAGUAGGACACAAAUUUCAAAAAUAAAAAUACAAGUGCUACUUAAGCA
rnacentral:lncRNA from 1 species